rnacentral:rRNA from 1 species
GACGAACGCUGGCGGCGUGCUUAACACAUGCAAGUCGAACGGAAAGGCCCCUUUUGGGGUACUCGAGUGGCGAACGGGUGAGUAACACGUGAGUAACCUGCCCUUGACUUCGGGAUAACUUCAGGAAACUGGGGCUAAUACCGGCUAGGAAUCCUUGCUGCAUGGUGGGGGUUGGAAAGCUUCGGCGGUUUUGGAUGGACUCGCGGCUUAUCAGCUUGUUGGUGGGGUAGUGGCUUACCAAGGCUUUGACGGGUAGCCGGCCUGAGAGGGCGACCGGCCACAUUGGGACUGAGAUACGGCCCAGACUCCUACGGGGGGCAGCAGUGGGGAAUAUUGCACAAUGGGCGGAAGCCUGAUGCAGCAACGCCGCGUGCGGGAUGACGGCCUUCGGGUUGUAAACCGCUUUCAGCAGGGGCGAAGCUUGUGGUGACGGUACCUGCAGAAGAAGCACCGGCUAACUACGUG